GAAUCAAUACAAACAAACAAUCAAUGAUGAAACAUUGUUGUACUAUACACUAUGGUCGUGCCAAAACAAUUUCCACACAAAACAGGGCCAAAACACACAGAAGAAGAAACGAGGGAAUCCCCAAAAAAAAAGAAGCUGAAUACGUCCAAUGACCAUAAAGGUCAAGAGGAAAAACGUGAAAUAUACUGCCAAAGUGAAAUGACCAAGACCAACAAAGUGAAAUGAAAUUUCAAGGCAAAAGUGAUCUGGUUCAAGCAAGUUCCCAACUUUUGUUUUAUUUUUCUAGGGAGGAAGAUAUUUACAUGACAUCUUGAAGCAGUCCACUUUAGUAAGGAAUCAAAUCAAUACGAACAAAGACUGAUAAAACAUUGUAGUACAUAAGUUGAAUGGCUAUUAAAGUA
rnacentral:lncRNA from 1 species